rnacentral:lncRNA from 1 species
GCUGGAUACAUCAGAUAACCUAAGCAUGUGAAGUCAACAUAAAGGGGAGCACCCAUUUUGAAUUCUAUGGACCAGAAUCAUCACAUGCUUGGCCAAUGGGAGUCUUUGGUGUGUCUGGCCUUUACAGGCUGUUAUGAGCUGUCUUGUGGACUGAAUACUUGGCUGUGAUUGGUCUGUGUGAGCUGGAGAGAAAGGCACCUUCCUGGUUGCUUCCUAAGGCAUCUUUGAAUAUGCCAAAUGGAUCUUUCUCCCUUGGAUAGUCUCACACGCCCUUCUCCUUGCCUUGUCUCCCAAGACAUGAUCAGACUUGGCUGUACGGAUGUCAGGACCGUACACCUUGUGCCCUAAGAUUGCACAUUCCUCAAAUGUGCUCAAAUGGCCGAAAUGAUAAGUUUCGGGUCGAUCAUGUCCGUACGGUCUGUACCGUUCGUACGUCCGUCCGUACAGGUCGAUCCCUAACUUUGCACCAUCGACCAUAAUCUUCCAAACUCUUCCAAUGUCUUGUAAACACCAUCAAGACACUUCUUAGAUCUUGUCUCUUCUUUGCAUCAGCUUCUAAACACUUCCGAAGCUUAAUAGAACUCUUCUGGAGAUCUUCUGGAGCUUGCCCUAUUUAUAAACAAGCUCCAUCUUCUCUUCAGUUCAACACUCUCCCUCAAGCUUGACUUUAGGAGAUCCUAAGUCAAGCUUGGAACCCUGAAGAGUCUCCCUCAUUAAAAACCUUACAAGGAAAACCCAUUGGGACAAAACCUUGCAAGGGAAAAAGAGUAGAGCUCUCCAAAGCCUAGGGAUUGGCCAGUGAGCUCUUGUGCCUUAGAACCAGUGUGGUUGGACACAAGAAGCUCUGGAUCACGGCCUAACAGGUGCAGCAACUCUUCACAGCUUUGCGCACACUUCACACUGUACCUGAUACAUCAUUCCACAAGUGUAUCAGUACUUAUCAAGUAACAUAACUCAAUCAAUUCAUGCUUAUAGACCGUCUUAGUAAGACUAGUAUUCCUCAUAGAUUACUAGAUAUGUUGCCGUCUAGGAAAACUAGUAUUCCUAACGAAUUACUAGAUAUGAUUGAAAAUGAUGAAUUGAAAUUGAGUACGGGGAAACUUCCCUUUUGUUUUGGUGAGGAGUGACUAGAUUGGCUCGUCACUUGAAUUCCUCAUACUAUGUUAUUUCACCAUCCUCAUGGCAACACCAACUCUUCUUGGAACUCUCCUUUGGACCGGCCUGAGUCUUCCCUUCUCUCGUGGCUUCUUGCCAUCUCCAUCAGGUAAGACAUGCCUAGCUCCAUUUUGCUUUGGUGAGGAGUGGCUGCUCUCUUACCAUGAAAGCUCACCAACGCUCCCCCUCAAGCUUGAGACCGAGUAUAGGGAAGAUCCAAGCUUGAAGGUGAGCGCAUACUAAGAUCCAUGAUCACUCUUGUGGGAACACCUCCAUCUUCUUCAGACUUGAUGCUUACAGCUCCACUUAACCACCAUUGCACUGAGGAGAUACCUCAGCUCACUCUCCACGCAUUGCACUGAGGAGAUACCUCACCUCACUCUCCAAGCAUCUCACACCAGAAGCUUAUUGAGUAGCUUUCUUCUUCCCUCUACUUCGGCUGGAUCACUCCAUGAUCAGCUUGCAAUGGUCUUGAGUAGCUAUGAGCUGAUUCAAAGCUUCCCAACUGAAGGUAUCUGUUCUAACUCCAUAUAGUAGCUGAUCCAUAGCUUUCCAACCAGAAGGUAUUGUUCCAACUGAAGGUAACUGCUCUAACUCUAUAUAGUAGCUGAUCCAUAGCUUCCCAACCAGAAGGUAACUGUUCUAGCCCCACUUAAACCACCAUUGCCACAACAUCCUCUCUACCCUCUUUGGAGCAGGCUGUGGACUUCCCACAGAAUGUUGGCAACAUGCUUCAUCUUAUCAUUCCCUUGUAAUGAUAAGGAGGAAACAGGUCUUGAACUUUGGCUCUUCAGGUUGCUCAUUUGAAUCCCCACCGCAAGCUUGAGACCGAGUAUAGGGGAGAUCCAAGCUUGAAAUGAGCCUCUAUGAACUUCAAGACCAGGAGCACAUCACCCUAACAGCUGCGCUUAAAUCACUGAUCCACCCUUUUGCCUUCAGCUUCAAGUACCCUCAGAUCACCGGCCUUCCUCAUGGCUUAGGUGGUGACCUUCUUCUUCUUGUGUGUCUUGAACCAGGAGCUCAACAACCUCGUGGCCUGCGCUUCUUAAACCGGCUUCUACACACAAGAACCUUCCCAUUGCUCCACACAAUGGUUGGUCUUCCGCUUGUAUGUCUUGAACCAGGAGCUCAACAACCUCGUGGCCUGCGCUUCUUAAACCAGCUUCUACACACAAGUAUCUUCCCAUUGCUCCACACAAUGGUUCAAGUCUUCCUCUUGUCUUGGAUAGGUGGUGAGCAGAGAACACUUCUUGUGAACCUGAAACACCACUCAAACUCCAGCAAGGAUAAGACACAAGAGUAUUGGGAUCAAUCCUUGAUUAAUCAUCAGGUUUGAUUCCCAAUCUCACAAGCAAUGCAACAGAUAGACACAAGGCAUUAUCAAGUUCUAUUCUUUGCAAGCUAGCUCUCUAAGAACAAGCAAGAUCCUAACAGAUUCAAGACAAGUUACUUAGGCACUUUUAAAAGCUUCUUUACUCAGCACUUUAGACAUGAAUCUAAUGCUUCAAUGUAAGACAGCCACAAGACUAUAUGCAACAGCUUUAAAUUCAGUUUCAAUCCAUGUAUGCAAGCAGAUUCAGUUAAUCACUCUAAGCAUCACUAUGAAACGAAGCUAAGCAUAUUAAUCACAUUCAGUCACCAAACAAAGCUCUUAAAGUAUCCUGGGACAGAUUCUAAACAUUUUAAUUUAUCAAUCUUUAACAGUCCUCAGGUUUUCAAUCACAUCACACAAUACAACCAGUCAACAACACAAGCUCAUUAUCAAGAGGGUUUUAAAAUCGCUUACACAAGGAACCAGGUUGGUUCCUUAAACCUCCAAGGGGACUGGCCAUGGCUUUUGUUGAAUCUGAGAGUCUGGAUAGUCACCCACCUCCUACUCCUUCAGUUCAUGGCCACCUUCUUGUUUCUCCAACUCAAAGACUCCUCCUUUCUUCAAGUCUUCUAGGCGCCAUCAUCUUGACAGCUUUCAUGAUGAACCGGGUGAAGAAAGCUCUUGGAGGAGGCGCCUUGGAUGAGGUUCGUGAGUCCUCUCCAUACACUUCUGCUUCCAAUGAGUCUCUCCAUCAGGAUAGACAGGAGAAAGGAUAAGAGACACGCCCUUCAGUCUUCUUCUCAUGGAGAAACUGAACUCGGAUGGGAAUGUCUUCAAGGGUUGGAUUUGAGCUGAGGGUAGAGCUUGUGUUGUGCGGAAGCUACAGCUCAGGUUCUGAUGAACCUGGCUCUGAGAACAUAUGAUUUUUAAAGAGAUCUCUACUCUGGUAGUAUGUGUGUGUGUAUAAGCUUCAAUGAAGAAUGAUUAGAGCUUGUUCUAGGUGAUAUAUAGGAAAGGAUUAGUGAGAGUGUUUAUGAGUAUGUGAGACUUAAGAACAGAGAUUGAGAGACUUAAGAGACUAGAGAGAAACUGAGAGAAUAAGAGACUGAAGAUUAGAGAAGGAGAAGGGAAACCCCCUUACUCACUUAAUGUUUCCAAUUGUUUACAAGAAGCUUAAAUACAUAAAUGGAGGCUGAAUUCAUCAGAUAACCUAAGCAUGUGAAGUCAGCAUAAAGGGGAGCCCCAAUUUGAAUUCUAUGGACCAGAAUCAUCACAUGCUUGGCCAAUGGGAGUCUUUGGCGUGUCUGGCCUUUACAGGCUGUCAUGAGCUGUCUUGUGGACUGAAUACUUGGCUGUGAUUGGUCUGUGUGAGCUGGAGAGAAAGGCACCUUCCUGGUUGCUUCCUAAGGCAUCUUUGAAUAUGCCAAAUGGAUCUUUCUCCCUUGGAUAGUCUCACACGCCCUUCUCCUUGCCUUGUCUCCCAAGACAUGAUCAGACUUGGCUGUACGAAUGUCAGGACCGUAUACCUUGUGCCCUAAGAUUGCACAUUCCUCAAAUGUGCUCAAAUGGCCGAAAUGAUAAGUUUCGGGUCGAUCAUGUCCGUACGGUCUGUACCGUUCGUACGUCCGUCCGUACAGGUCGAUCCCUAACUUUGCACCAUCGACCAUAAUCUUCCAAACUCUUCCAAUGUCUUGUAAACACCAUCAAGACACUUCUUAGAUCUUGUCUCUUCUUUGCAUCAGCUUCUAAACACUUCCGAAGCUUAAUAGAACUCUUCUGGAGAUCUUCUGGAGCUUGCCCUAUUUAUAAACAAGCUCCAUCUUCUCUUCAGUUCAACACUCUCCCUCAAGCUUGACUUUAG